CUUGUGGACUGUUAUACAAACGAAAGUAGUAGAAAUAAAUUCAUUUCUAACGAAAUCGGACAGGAUGAAGCAAGAA
rnacentral:sRNA from 12 species